rnacentral:RNase_P_RNA from 2 species
GAAGCAGGCCAGACCGCCGCUGGCGCGAGCACCGAAAGGUGGCGCUGGAGGAAGGUCCGGACUGCACAGGGCAGCGUAGGAGCUAACGGCUCUCCACCGCGAGGUGAGGAUCAGAGCAACAGAGACGAGUCAGCGCGGAGCGCCCGGGGCGGGUGGUCUGUGAGCCGCCGGCGUCAGCCGGCAGGCCUGUGCGGCGCGAGCCGGACAGGCCCGGGCGCCAGCCUGGGGUUCACAGUCACCCAACACGGGGCGAACGCCCCGCGUUGGGUGAAACGGGCAAUCUCUACGCGCAGCAACACCGAAUAGGCCGGCAUCGAGGUGGCCCGCGGAGCCGGCGGGUGGGUGGCACCGAGCCGGGUGGGCGACCCCCGGCCCAGAGGAAUGGCGGUCACGCCGCGGCCCGCGCGAGCGGGCGGCGACGCACAGAAUCCGGCCUACCGGCCUGCUUCACAC